AGUGAACGCGGCGGCGUGCCUAAUACAUGCAAGUCGAACGGAAUUUAAGAGGGCUUGCUCUUUUAAAUUUAGUGGCGCACGGGUGAGUAAUAUAUAGCUAAUCUGCCCCUUGCUGGAGGACAACAGUUAGAAAUGACUGCUAAUACUCCAUACUCCUUUUUAUCAUAAGAUAAAUCGGGAAAGAAUUUCGGCAAGGGAUGAGACUAUAUCGUAUCAGCUAGUCGGUGGGGUAACGGCCUACCGAGGCUAUGACGCGUAACUGGUCUGAGAGGAUGAUCAGUCACAUUGGAACUGAGACACGGUCCAAACUCCUACGGGAGGCAGCAGUAGGGAAUAUUGCGCAAUGGGGGAAACCCUGACGCAGCAACGCCGCGUGGAGGAUGACACUUUUCGGAGCGUAAACUCCUUUUGUUAGGGAAGAAUAAUGACGGACCUAACGAAUAAGCCCCGG
rnacentral:rRNA from 1 species